CCGACCUCGGGACUCGCCUCCAGCCCUGGACGCGCCGUCACUUUGCUGCGGGAAGGACGCGCAUCCUGGCGUCGCGCGCGGGGCCGAGGGCGGGCGCCCCAGCCUUCGCGGCAAGGCCUGCUCCUCAACCUCCCCCGCUCCGGGGUGGAGGGGGGGCCUGGCUGGGCUGUCCCGGUCCCUUACCUGGGGUCUGGGUGUUUGCACAGCCCGGACAUGAUUUCCGUGGGCCUCUGUACGCCUGUCCUUGAAAGAGUAAAGGCCACCUGCACACCCUCUGUGCGCACUGUGCUUGGUCCCGCAGCUCCUGCGCGGUUCGGGAGGUCUGGCUGGUCAGGGGAUCUCCCUCGGCGGAUCAGGCUGGCCCUUUCACGAGACUUAAGCAGUAUUUCCACGUUUCCUUUUUUCGGUCUUCCCUCUCUGAUGCGGAGAGGCCCAGAUGGCCCAUUCUUUAAAGCCUUUUGCAGAAGGCGCUUGGUGACUUGCAACACUAGUGAGCCUGCUGUCCCCGGCAGGGUCGCUGACCCUCAUGACCCUCAUCCCCUGUGUGCAGGCAGGGCACAUAAUAGCUGCUAGACUUCUCUGGGCCUUUAGCAGUCAGAGAAGUUGGGCUCUCAGGGGCUGGAUGAUGUGGGGCGAGGACAGGUGUUUUUCUGUCUGGACUCGGAGCCACAGCAGGUAGUGGUGACCUGACAGGAGGAGGCAUGCCCAGCAGGUGCAUGCUGCUCAGAACCAGAUGGCUACUCUCAGGCUGGGCUUCUUCACUCACCUGCCGAUGGCCCUGGAUGCCAAGAUGAUGUGGCCCUGCAUGAGCCGGGCUGGUGAGCAUCCUGAGAGAGGACCCGAUUUUCAACCAUGCCGUGCUUAGUCUUUGGGCUGUUAACCUCAACUCUGGUGGAAAUGUGAGAGCUGACAACCAGGCCCGGCUCCAGGGGCCCGAACUCCGUUCUCAGCUCAGCGACCGCCGCUGACCUCUACCGGGAGCUUCCAGCUUCUUCCUCACGGGCAGGUCCUUUGAAACUGUUACCCGAGGUCAUUUCCUGAGGACAGUCAAUGGCAUCUUCAUGUAUCCUGGAAUGGGAAAUUGUGCCUGAAAAUCUGAAUUGAAUAAACAUGGAAAACAGAUCCUCUGUUAUUUUGGACUUUGCGAUUUACCAUCGAGUCAU